rnacentral:lncRNA from 1 species
AACCGUAGGGGCCACAGCACCGAAGAAUGCAGGCAUCUGCGAGAAUAUCUACUCGGUCUAUAUCGCAAGGAGCCGAUCUCGGUCGACGAACUCUGACGCUCGAACGCGUCUAAGAGCGGUGGACAACUUUCGAUCGACGAUCUCCGUCGUUCACAUAUGCCUCGACCAAACAAUGAACAGCUUGAGAAAGUACUCGCCAAAGAUCCACCAACUCCACCGGCUUUACCGACGUUACCACCGCCACCACCGAAUCCGCCUGUUUUGUCCGAGCAACAGAAACGGAAUUGUGAUGACCGAGCACCAGAGAAUCACGCUCCUAAGGCACGGAAGCGUGUCAACAUGAUAAUGGGGGCAAUCGAAGCUUGCAGUUAUUCGGUCCGAGCCAUCAAAGAGUACAGCAGACAGGCCGCCAGCGCGCCCAAAGCC